GUUAGAAGAACAACCAGUUCAUAGUAUGAGUUUAAUAAAUGUUGACUUUAAAAGAUAUACAGCCAUGGUUCCUGCUCCUACUGUCCUUCCAGAUGAAAAAAAAAUGUUAAGUUGCUGGUUCAUAUCACAAGAAUAUCUGAAUGGAAAUGGGGUACCGGAGCAGCUGGACUCAUCAAGCUGGAAAUCCAUGCAGUCGGCAAAACCAUCACAGCGCUGGUGGGCUGGGAUACAGCUGUUGGAGGAGGCACACACCAGAGCUCCAUUAGAACAGCUUUUGUUGGCUGCAAAAAAAAAAGAAUAAUGAUCAGGGAUGCCAGCAUGAUUUUUUUUUGUCCCAAUGAAUUCUCACAACAAAAUAACAUAAAACAGUUUAUUAUAUUACUCUUGAUUUUUUCUAGUCUGAUAUUUUAGAACACAGUUCUUUUUGAAGAAUAUUUCAAAUGGAUUAACUUAAAAAUGUCUGAAAGAAAAACCACAUUUGCCUGAAAAAUCACUUCGCAGAUGUGCAUUCUUAGGGACUGAAUUGUGUCCUCACCUCAACAUUCAUAUCUUGAAACCCUAACCCGCAACAGGACUGUAUUUACAGAUAGGAGCUUUAAGAAGGUAACAAAGGUUAUAAGAAGAGAGAGACAUCAGGGAUGCAAUGACAUACAGGAAAGGCUACGUGAAGACACAGCAAGAAGGCAGCCAUCUGUAAGCCAAGGAGAGAGGCCUUAGGAGACACCAAACCUGCCUACACGUUGAUCUUGGACUUUUAGCCUCCAGAAGUGGGAGAAAAUAAAUUCCUGUUGUUUUAGCUAUCCAGUGGGUGUUAUUUUCUUACGGCAGCCUGUGCUGACUAAUACAUGCAUUAUGUAGUAUUACACAUAUCAUCAAAUGCAUUGCAUGAAAUGCAAGCAGACACUGAUCUGACUUCAAUAGGCAAACAUUUCAAUAGCAUAGAGAUGCUAAUACUCAUAAGACUUUGGUUGUUUCGAAAAGUGUCCUUAUUGAUGUCCAUCAAGAGCACUGAUGCCUGUUCAAUGGCUACCUAGUCUUGCAAAGCACUUUACCUUUCUGUAUACAACGUG
rnacentral:lncRNA from 10 species